rnacentral:rRNA from 1 species
GACGAACGCUGGCGGCGUGCUUAACACAUGCAAGUCGAACGGAAAGGCCUGCUUUCCCUUGUGGAUUGCGGGUACUCGAGUGGCGAACGGGUGAGUAACACGUGAGUGAUCUGCCCCCAACUUGGGUAUAAGCCUGGGAAACUGGGUCUAAUUCCCGAUAGGACUGCAGGGUGGUGCCUGUGGUGGAAAACGAUUUUCUAGUGGUUGGGGAUGAGCUCGCGGCCUAUCAGCUGGUUGGAGGGGUAAUGGCCUACCAAGGCGGGGACGGGUAGCCGGCCUGAGAGGGUGGGCGGCCACAGUGGGACGGAGAUACGGCCCAGGCGCCUACGGGAGGCAGCAGUGGGGAGUAUUGCACAAGGGGCGGAAGCCUGAGGCAGCGACGCCGCGUGGGGGAUGACGGCCUUCGGGUUGUAAACUCCUUUCGACCGCGAGGAAGCCACCUGGUUGGAAGGGUAGUGACGGUAGUGGUAGAAGAAGCACCGGCUAACUACGUG